rnacentral:rRNA from 1 species
CCUACGGGAGGCAGCAGUGAGGAAUAUUGGUCAAUGGACGCAAGUCUGAACCAGCCAAGUAGCGUGCAGGAUGACGGCCCUCCGGGUUGUAAACUGCUUUUAGUUGGGAAUAAAAGGGGGCUCGUGAGCCCCGUAUUGUAUGUACCAUCAGAAAAAGGACCGGCUAAUUCCGUGCCAGCAGCCGCGGUAAUACGGAAGGUCCGGGCGUUAUCCGGAUUUAUUGGGUUUAAAGGGAGCGUAGGCCGGCUUUUAAGUCAGCUGUGAAAGUCCGCGGCUCAACCACGGAACUGCAUUUGAAACUGUCGGUCUUGAGUAUCGGAGAGGCAGGCGGAAUUCCUAGUGUAGCGGUGAAAUGCGUAGAUAUUAGGAGGAACACCGAUUGCGAAGGCAGCUUACCAAGCUACUUCUGACGUUGAGGCACGAAAGCGUGGGGAGCAAACAGGAUUAGAUACCCUAGUAGUC